ACGCAUCACGCAUAGACACGCGCACGAGACGAAGCGAACAGGGCGUCACCUCUGCGAACCAUCUCAGCAUCGCUUGUGUGUUGAUAUCGACCCCUUUCUUCCGGUGUUACCGCGUGUCCUCUUCCUCGCUAGCUUGCCUCUGUAUGUGUGCGUGUGUGUGUGCGUCUUCGUCCCUCUCUCGGUGGCACGCACACGCGCACGAAGACAUGACAGGUGAUCCGGCGGUGGACGCGAAAAGUCACCACAAACUGAUCACAAAAACCAACGCGUGCAUGCGCAUCUUCUGACAAUCAUAGACCACGUCGCCGCGCAUCUUUAGUGUCUCUCCCUAACUCCAUCAUCGACUGAAUACGGAUCGAGUUGAGAAAAAGCAGGACAAGAACGGAAGCAGAACGCGUGCCAUUGAACUAGCGGUGACCUAUCACCGUAUCUGCAUCCCCACCCCUACCCCCUCAUCCUUCGCACAAGCAGCUCCUCCGCCUGCGCAUGUGGACGUCCAGUUGCCUUCGGCCAUACACACCAGCGCGCGCGCUCCUUUUCUCUUCCUCUCUCUUGCUCUUUGUAGUUCGGCACCGUACAGGUGCUCGGCUGUACGGGGAACAGCGCUGCUGCACCGUUGCGCGGUUGUUACUGCAAUCCCACGCACGCACGCUCGGCGAUCAUGUUCAAGAAGAAAAUUUCGAGCGUGACGACGGCGGUUGCCUCAGCGGCCGCAGCAACUGCAGCGGCGGCGAAGGUGCACGCCCCGGCAACGCGCGGCAGUAAAGCGAAGACGCUCGCUCUCAUCGAGAAGCAUCGAAAGAUUCUCGAAGAGGCAAGGCGUCAGAAAGAGGAGAUGGACCAGCUGACGCUCGAGCAAGGGGAGCUGCAGCAGCAGAAACUCACGCAUAUUACCGUUGCACCGCCGUCGCCUGCGACCUCAUCUGCGGCGUCAUCCGCAGCUGUGAAAGAAGAGCCGCCGCGAGACACUUUCACCGCCCUUGUCGAGCACUUUCUCGCCUCCACGCAGCCUCUCGCAGAUUUGGACGAGACCAUACAGGAGGCGGACAGCUCAUCCGGCGCUUCCAGCGAGGCGCCAUUCAAGUCACUACCGCCACGGCAGCCACGGUCGGCGACAGCCUCAGCCUCCCCCUCCAUCAUCACGUACCGCAGUUUCGCUGCAUCGCUCGUCUGCCCAAAGAAGCUUUUCCUCUUGCAGAAUCGCUCCGACCUCAUCCCCAAGGCCUCUCUCGGCGACAUGAUGCACUUCGAUGACAGCGUCGGCUUCAACGAGCUGGUGCGGCGGUGGGACCGGCUCCAGUUCGGCAGCCGCGCUGUGCUCGUGAAGGAGAACGAAUUCUACCAGGCGGUGCAGCGCACGGAGCAGCUCAUCACGACAUACUUCCAAGGCCCGUACAAGUCGCUCGCAGAGCAGGCGCCGUCGCUGACGAUUCACCGGCCGGCUUUCGCCGUCGAGUUCCCUGGCGGCGCGCAUCAAACGCGAGCUGACGGCCGCGGCUCCAGUGCUGCUGCCGCUGACUCGGCAGUCAUGGAGCUGCGCGCGCGUCCGGCUGUAGUGCGGUAUCGCCCAAAGGAGAAUCAGUGGGUCUUCCUCGAUUCCCAGGCCGUCAUUGACCCUCUCAGCAGUCCGAGCCGCAUCAGCAGCUUCGUCCAGCGAUUUCACUUCACGGCUCUGUGCUUCCGGCUGUGGUUGACGCAGCCGCACUUGCCCAUCGAAGUUCGAAAGAAAUUUUUGCAGGUGGACCUGGACAGCAUCACGUGCGAGAACUUGGGUGGCCGCUCACUGGAGUCCUCCGCACGCGCGGCGGCGCCGAUCGACCUGAAGCGCAGCGGGCUGCUGCACAUUCGCCAGUUCCUCCCCGGCCCGGCCACGCUGAUGGACUGCGACCCGCCUCGGCUUGUCAAGUUUAUCCAGCGAGUCUCCCUGGAGGAACUGAUAGCGGAGGACAGCAAGCACUACAGCAAGGAUGGUCGCGGGCGGCAGUACAGCAACGCCACCGCUCGCGCUGGAGGCGGCGGUGCGGACUACUUCUCGCAUCACGGUCUCGGUGGCGGCGGCGGCGCCGGUGGGGCGUUUGACCUGCGCAACUUUACCAGCGCCAUCGCUUCCCAUCCAGUCCUCGCCGGCCAUGCCGCGGAGGUUGAGCUGGCGGCUCUGGGACUCGGCGACUUUCACAACUCCCGCGCGACACGCAGCCAGCGCCACAAGGAUGAGGUGCAUCAUCGUCUCUUCGAGGCAGAGCAGCGCUUCAUGGAGGAGCUGCUGCGCCAGCACACCCUCCCCCUCGUGAAGCGCCAACAACAGCAGAUGGCCGCAUUUUCUUCCGCCGAGGGGCCAGCGAGCAGCCCCCUGACUGCCUUCUCGAACCUUCUGGGCGACGACGGCUUCGUGCGCGCCAGCUGCGCCGCCGACGCAGUGGACAACGGCAAGCACAAGAAGGGUGUGAAGUCGGCGGCCCAAAUAGUGAAAGGCGCGGCAGCAGGCGGCCGAGGGAAGCGAAAAGCCCCGGCGGCCGGCGAGGAUGAGGAAUCAAAGGCGGAGGCGGAGGCGGAGGAGGACGCUGGUGACGUCGGCAUGGGCGGCGGCGACAACAUAGAUUCUCCGUGCUACGCGCGGUACGUUGGCACUCACUGUCUGCGCGGCGGCGACGCGUGUCCGUUCUUUACCGAGGGCAUGUGUCUGCCUCGCAAGGUGGACAACGCGAUUGUGGCACGAGACAACCACCUCUUCACACUCCCGUCCACCUCCCUCGCACGCAAGGCGGCGUGGUGGGCGCAGGGCAAGCGCACUGUGCGCGACGUGCUCGCCGCGUACGAGCGAGGGGAAAGCGGGGUGCGGCUGACCAGUCCGCAAGUGCGCUACGCGAACGCCCUCCGACAAGGCAAGGUAGCGUUGAACCCGAAGGAAAUCGACGCCUUCUUCGACCGCAUUCAGUACCCGCUGUUCGUCAUCGAUUUUGAGGCCGUGCAGUUUGCCCUGCCGCCCUUUGCGAAGGAGGUGGCGUACCAGUCUAUCCCGUUCCAGUUCUCUCUGGACGUGUUCCAGCACGACGUCCUGACGGAGGAGCCAACGCACUACAACUACCUGCACUUUGGCAAGGGCUACUCGCCAAACACAGACCCCCGCCCAGCCUGCAUCGCUGAGCUCAUCCGGAUCGUGCGGCUGGAGCGGGAGAAGAAGCGAAAGGCGAUGGAGGCAUCUGGUGAGCUGGAGCGCAUUGCUUCCGCGCGCGCCGCGGAGGAGGCAGCGGCGGCGGAGGCGAGCGGACGCCGCCGACGACGGGGCAAGAUGCCGAAGCCGCCGAAAAUUACCAAAUCCAACCCGCUGGAGCAGCCGCUGCAUCCCUACGACGGCUGCUUCAUUGCGCACUUCGCCUCCUUCGAGAAGGCGUGCCUGGAGAAGCUGGGUCAGUUGGAGGAGAAGUACAAGGACGAGAUCAAGAGCUUCUGGUUCCUCGACACACUCGACCUCAUCAAGAAGGGAUACCUGCACCCCAACGCGCAUGGGUCGAACUCGCUCAAGAAGGUUCUGCCGGCGCUCUGCCCCGACUUCCAGUACGGCGUCUUUGGCUCAGAAGCGACGGUGAUGGUGACGGCAAAUGAUGGCUUGCUUGGUGUGGGUGGCAGAGGAAAUGCGGCGCCUGUGUCUGAUGCCUCCGUGGCCAAGGGCAGCGCCGGAGAGGGCCAGGACGAGCAGAAAGGCGAGAACGCGAUGGGCGUGUACCGGCUCUGGCAUCACAUGGAAGGCGGCGGCACCGUGCAGGACCUCGAGCGGGCGAAGCUGAGUCUCUCUGGCGGUACUCAGCAAACGCCGAACUGGUCCGAGAGCGUGCGCACCACCAUGACCAAGGAGGAGCGAGACCGCAUGUGGCAAACCCUGCGCAUUCAAUUGCUGGAGUACUGCUCCCUCGACACCAAGGCCCUGUACGAGAUUAUGCGCGAGAUCUACAAGGAGAGAGAGGCGGCAGCGGGGGUCAAGCCGCACGAUAAGACGGGGUGGGUACUCAUCGAUCCGGUGCCGCGCGAGGUGGACUUUUAGAACUCAGGUCUCUGCGCGCGUGUGGAGAGACGUAGACGGGUGCGGCCAUUGCUGCCUGCAGCCUUUCGUCUCUGACCUGCGUGCGUCCUGCCUGGCCUCCGCCGUCCUCUCCUCCCCUCGCUUCCGUAAGGCUGAGCAUUGUUGGGGGUUGCCUGGCUCAGCACGUACCACCACACCUCAGCGUCCUACGCGGGGCGACGUCUACGGAGGAGUAAGCGGCUGCAGCGUUCGAGCCGUGAAGAAGUCACCGUACAAUCCGUGAUAAGGCUUUAUGAGGUACAGCAUGUCCAUUCGUCCAUAGAGCAUGAGCCAAGCGUCGCUUGACCCCAGACAAGUCACAGGCCAUCCCCACCACCAUCCGCGUGGUGCGACGCCGCCGCAGACACGCAUGAAAGCAAUGCGCCGACCCGGUUGAGCACGCCCUCCCCCCCCUCUGCCUCGAGCUCUACCCAUCGUUGGGAUGGCACAAGCGUUGUGCACUGUAGCAGGCCGCUCCGACGCAGCGCCAUCCGGAGCCUGGCCCGCGGACAUCAGCAGCGAUAUGCCUCGCUCUGACCUUGCUACGUUGUCGGCACUUUGGCCCGGUCACCACCAGGCGUGGUUUGGCAUGGGGCAGGGAUAAGGGGGGCUGGGCCCUGCGAUACCACACUCUGAGCAGGUGCGUCCCCCCCCGCCCCGCCCUCCCUCAGCCGCCGUCAUGAGAGUCUGCGAAGAAGUGAGGAAUAAAGUGAAGGGCGAUGAAAGCGUCCGUAAAGGCUAAGUAGUUGCAGCGUGGAGGAGCGCCCUUACGUAUUCUUCGCCACCACCACCACCACCCUCUCAGCCCUUCCCACCGCGGGCCACGACGCCGGCCUGGGGUGAUGCUCCCUGCACACCGGUGCGUACAGUCGGAGCUGAGUGAGUAUAUUGUUUAUGUGUCUCACUGGUCGCCCUUUGCCCCUUCUGUCGUCGCCGUGCCCGCGUGAUGCCGCAUCUCUUUCCUCUCCUCUCCUCUCCCCUCCCCUCUCUUCCCUCUUUCUCUCGGGCUUUACGAAACAUGUCCUCUGCUCCGCGUCCGUCGAUGCGCACCCUCAG
rnacentral:misc_RNA from 1 species